GGGGCUAUAGCUCAGCCGGGAGAGCGCCUGCCUUGCACGCAGGAGGUCUGCGGUUCGAUCCCGCAUAGCUCCACCA
rnacentral:tRNA from 2 species